rnacentral:rRNA from 1 species
AAACUUAAGGAAUUGACGGGGCCCGCACAAGCGUGGAGCAUGUGGUUUAAUUCGAUGCAACGCGAAGAACCUUACCUGGGCUUGACAUCCCUGGAAUCCCCUGGAAACAGGGGAGUGCCCUUCGGGAGCCAGGAGACAGGUGCUGCAUGGCUGUCGUCAGCUCGUGUCGUGAGAUGUUGGGUUAAGUCCCGCAACGAGCGCAACCCUCGACCUUAGUUGCCAGCAUUCAGUUGGGCACUCUAAGGUGACUGCCGGCUAAAAGUCGGAGGAAGGUGGGGAUGACGUCAAAUCAUCAUGCCCCUUAUGACCUGGGCUACACACGUGCUACAAUGGGCGGUACAAAGGGUCGCGAACCCGCGAGGGGGAGCCAAUCCCAAAAAGCCGGCCCCAGUACAGAUAGGAGUCUGCAACUCGACUCCUUGAAGGCGGAAUCGCUAGUAAUCGCUGAUCAGCUGGCAGCGGUGAAUACGUUCCCGGGCCUU